GUCACUUUCUGCAUGCAAUGUUUGAUGCAUUGGCUUUGUAAUCUAUUCAUUAUAUGCCCCUGUAACCAACUUUUUCCAGAUGUCCCUUUGAAAUUAGUUUGUGCCAGUCAUUAUGUACAAGAUAGUAAAAUGUCUGUGAUUAUCCAGGUUUCUAUCUUUGUUAAAUUGACCACUCUUGGUCUAACUUGGUUUAAAAUUCUACUUUCAGGGGACGUCACGUGAUGACAUAGGAUCGAGACGCUGGAACCCAGCUCUCCCAUAAAAAAAAUCAAUAAAUUAAUGUUUAAGUGAAGAAAAGUUAGUCAAAAAGUUACUUAUAAACUACUCUGGAUUGUUUCAAGUUAUGCCUCAUAAACAGAAGAAGAAAACUACUACCAUGAAGUCAACGCAAGUUGGAACAGAAUCAAGGCCCACUUCUGCCAAAGAACCGCGGGCUCAGGUACAUUUCACCUCCAGCGAUACAGAACAACAAACUGCGGCAAAAUCGAUCAACCCUAAAGAAAAAGACCAACGAGAACUGCGCAAACGUGAAGGAGCAUGAGCAAACGAGAGCAACCAGAACCAGAGAGUAACCCAGUUACGACUGAAACCAAAAGCGAAAGUGAAUCUGAGAGAGAGUCAGAUUCUCUGGAAAAAAAAUCAGACGAAGAUGGAAGUAAAAGUUUUUCUGGAAAUAUAGAAAAGACUUUGAUGCAAAUAAUGCAUAUAUUCAGUGCAUUAAAGAUGUGGAGCCAAAGAGAUGGGGGAGAUUUUGAACAAUUUCUUUUCUUCAGUAUUCACUAAGGAGAGGGAUAUUGAAUUGUGUAAGGGUUCCGCCAAACUGAGUGGAUUAUUGAAAGUCCUGUAGUUGGUGAUAAGUUCAUUCCAAAGCACAGGAAUGCGCUAAGAUGGUAGCAUGAUAUUAAUAUGCAGCAGCCUCUCCGGACUCUGGAUUGGGGGAUUAUCAAACAUUAUGUGGAUUUCUGGUGUAGUUGGUUUUGUCAUGUGCUUUUGUGAUAUCAUUCUGGAGAACAUUGUCUCAUUUUUUAAAUUGCAUUGCAUUUGUGGUUUUUAAAUGACAACAAACUGAAACUGAACUGAACUGAACUGAAGAGGGCAAGAAAGAGGAUGAAAUAGCUUUGACAGAGAACGCUACAUAGACUCCAAAGAGAUUUUAUCCGUUUUAAGAGAAUUAGGAAAAGAAUAGGGUCUCUCAAAGAUUGAAGUGGAGGUCUAUCAUGUAGAGUCACAGGAAAUGAAUCAGGCACGCACUGAAUAUUUCUCCUUUUCUAAAUCAUGGAGAAGGACAUACUGUGACAUCCCAGAAACCAAUGGCGAUAUCAUUAGGAUAGUCCAUGCUACAGUAGAG